rnacentral:rRNA from 1 species
CGUAACUUUCUAGAGAUAGAUUGGUGCCUCCGGGAGCGCAGUGACAGGUGCUGCAUGGCUGUCGUCAGCUCGUGUCGUGAGAUGUUGGGUUAAGUCCCGUAACGAGCGCAACCCCUAUCCUUAGUUACCAGCGGCUUGGCCGGGAACUCUAAGGAGACUGCCGGUGAUAAACCGGAGGAGGGUGGGGACGACGUCAAGUCAUCAUGGCCCUUACGUCUGGGGCUACACACGUGCUACAAUGGCCGGUACAGUGAGUCGCAAUACCGCGAGGUGGAGCCAAUCUCAAAAAGCCGGUCUCAGUUCGGAUUGGAGUCUGCAAUUCGACUCCAUGAAGUUGGAAUCGCUAGUAAUCGCGGAUCAGCUACGCCGCGGUGAAUACGUUCCCGGGCCUU